rnacentral:rRNA from 1 species
GAACCUGCGGAAGGAUCAUUAUUGAAAUAAACCUGAUGAGUUGCUGCUGGUUCUCUAGGGAGCAUGUGCACACUUGUCAUCUUUAUAUCUCCACCUGUGCACCUUUUGUAGACCUGGAUAUCUCUCUGAAUGCUAGUCACUCAGGUUUGAGGAUUGACUUUAUGUCUCUCCUUGCAUUUCCAGGCCUAUGUUUCUGUAUAUACCCAAUGUAUGUCAUAGAAUGUAAUCAAUGGGCCUUUGUGCCUAUAAACCUAUACAACUUUCAGCAACGGAUCUCUUGGCUCUCGCAUCGAUGAAGAACGCAGCGAAAUGCGAUAAGUAAUGUGAAUUGCAGAAUUCAGUGAAUCAUCGAAUCUUUGAACGCACCUUGCGCUCCUUGGUAUUCCGAGGAGCAUGCCUGUUUGAGUGUCAUUAAUAUAUCAACCUCUUCAACUUUUGUUUGUCGGGUGUUGGAUUUGGGGGUCUUUUUUGCUGGUCUUGUAUCAGCUCCCCUGAAAUGCAUUAGCAGAACAAUUUGUGAACCGUUCAUUGGUGUGAUAACUAUCUACGCUGUUGACGUGAAACAGGUUCAGCUUCUAACAGUCCAUUGACUUGGACAACUUUUCAUUAAUGUGACCUCAAAUCAGGUAGGACUACCCGCUGAACUUAA